GCAAGUCUGGUGCCAGCAGCCGCGGUAAUUCCAGCUCCAAUAGCGUAUAUUAAAGUUGUUGCAGUUAAAAGCUCGUAGUUGAACCUUGGGUCUGGGUGACCGGUCCGCCCCACCGCGUGCACUGGGAGCCCGGACCUUUCCUUCUGGCAAACCUCAUGCCCUUUACUGGGUGUGUCGGGGAACCAGGACUUUUAC
rnacentral:rRNA from 1 species